rnacentral:rRNA from 1 species
AUGAACGCUGGCGGCGUGCCUAAUACAUGCAAGUCGAGCGAACAGACGAGGAGCUUGCUCCUCUGACGUUAGCGGCGGACGGGUGAGUAACACGUGGAUAACCUACCUAUAAGACUGGGAUAACUUCGGGAAACCGGAGCUAAUACCGGAUAAUAUAUUGAACCGCAUGGUUCAAUAGUGAAAGACGGUUUUGCUGUCACUUAUAGAUGGAUCCGCGCCGCAUUAGCUAGUUGGUAAGGUAACGGCUUACCAAGGCAACGAUGCGUAGCCGACCUGAGAGGGUGAUCGGCCACACUGGAACUGAGACACGGUCCAGACUCCUACGGGAGGCAGCAGUAGGGAAUCUUCCGCAAUGGGCGAAAGCCUGACAGAGCAACGCCGCGUGAGUGAUGAAGGUCUUCGGAUCGUAAAACUCUGUUAUUAGGGAAGAACAAAUGUGUAAGUAACUAUGCACGUCUUGACGGUACCUAAUCAGAAAGCCACGGCUAACUACGUG